rnacentral:rRNA from 1 species
CGUCGUGAAGAGGGAAACAACCCAGACCGCCAGCUAAGGUCCCAAAGUCAUGGUUAAGUGGGAAACGAUGUGGGAAGGCCCAGACAGCCAGGAUGUUGGCUUAGAAGCAGCCAUCAUUUAAAGAAAGCGUAAUAGCUCACUGGUCGAGUCGGCCUGCGCGGAAGAUGUAACGGGGCUAAACCAUGCACCGAAGCUGCGGCAGCGACACUGAUGUGUUGUUGGGUAGGGGAGCGUUCUGUAAGCCGUUGAAGGUGGCCUGUGAGGGUUGCUGGAGGUAUCAGAAGUGCGAAUGCUGACAUAAGUAACGAUAAAGCGGGUGAAAAGCCCGCUCGCCGGAAGACCAAGGGUUCCUGUCCAACGUUAAUCGGGGCAGGGUGAGUCGACCCCUAAGGCGAGGCCGAAAGGCGUAGUCGAUGGGAAACGGGUUAAUAUUCCCGUACUUGGUGUUACUGCGAAGGGGGGACGGAGAAGGCUAUGUUGGCCGGGCGACGGUUGUCCCGGUUUAAGCGUGUAGGUGUGUGUUCCAGGUAAAUCCGGUUCACUUUAACAC